rnacentral:ncRNA from 1 species
AAGAUGCAUUAAGAAAGGGGUUAUCCCUGCCAACCUGCAUACCGUGCGAAGGUGGUAAUAUAUGCGGCCAAAAAGGCAAAAAUUAGGUCUCA